ACCGUCUCAAAGGGGUGCUCUAAAUAACGAGCUGAGAUUAUACCCAUAGAACCUAGAACAGGUAAUGCUGUUUAGGAAUGAAAAGAGAAAUUUUU
rnacentral:ncRNA from 1 species